rnacentral:rRNA from 1 species
UGGGGAAUAUUGGGCAAUGGGGGCAACCCUGACCCAGCGACGCCGCGUGGGGGAAGACGGCCUUCGGGUUGUAAACCUCUUUCGUACGGGAAGAAGGAAGUUACGGUAUUGUACGAAUAACUCCCGGCUAACUACGUGCCAGCAGCCGCGGUAAUACGUCGGGGACGAGCGUUGUCCGGAAUUACUGGGCGUAAAUGGCGCGCAGGCUGUGCUGCAAGUCAGCUGUUAAAUGUCUGGGCUUAACCCGGGCAUGCGGUUGAGACUGCGGGGCUGGAGUGCAGUAGAGGCAAGUGGAAUUCCCAGUGUAGCGGUGAAAUGCGUAGAUAUUGGGAAGAACACCGGUGGCGAAGGCGACUUGCUGGGCAGCAACUGACGCUGAGGCGCGAAAGCCAGGGGAGCAAACGG